rnacentral:rRNA from 1 species
CACCGCGGUUAGACGAUGGACCCAAGUUGACAGUACACGGCACAAAGGGUGGUUAAUAUGAAAUUAAACUAAAGUCGAACUUCUUCAGUACCGUCAUAAGUUCUUGAAGAGAGGAAGCACAACAACGAAAGUGACUUUAAAAAUAUGAACCCACGAAAGCUAGGGCA